GCAGUAGCCGCGGUAAUACAGAGGGUGCGAGCGUUAAUCGGAUUUACUGGGCGUAAAGCGUGCGUAGGCGGCUUCUUAAGUCGGAUGUGAAAUCCCUGAGCUUAACUUAGGAAUUGCAUUCGAUACUGGGAAGCUAGAGUAUGGGAGAGGAUGGUAGAAUUCCAGGUGUAGCGGUGAAAUGCGUAGAGAUCUGGAGGAAUACCGAUGGCGAAGGCAGCCAUCUGGCCUAAUACUGACGCUGAGGUACGAAAGCAUGGGGAGCAAACAGGAUUAGAUACCCGCGUAGUCCCUGUCUCUUAUAA
rnacentral:rRNA from 1 species